rnacentral:rRNA from 1 species
GACGAACGCUGGCGGCGUGCUUAACACAUGCAAGUCGAACGGAAAGGCCCUGCUUUUGUGGGGUGCUCGAGUGGCGAAAGGGUGAGUAACACGUGAGUAACCUGCCCUUGACUUUGGGAUAACUUCAGGAAACUGGGGCUAAUACCGGAUAGGAGCUCCUGCUGCAUGGUGGGGGUUGGAAAGUUUCGGCGGUUGGGGAUGGACUCGCGGCUUAUCAGCUUGUUGGUGGGGUAGUGGCUUACCAAGGCGUUGGCGGGUAGCCGGCCGGGUGGGGGGAGCGGCAACACUGGGACGGAGAGACGGCGAAGCCGCCUACGGGAGGCAGCAGUGGGGAAUAGGGCACAAUGGGCUCAAGCCUGACGCAGCAACGCCGCGUGAGGGACGACGGCCGGCGGGGUGGAAACCGCUUUUAGCAGGGAAGAAGCGAAAGGGACGGGAGCGGCAGAAAAAGCACAGGCGAACGACGUG